rfam:Trichinella sp. T8 scaffold9s, whole genome shotgun sequence.
CCAACGGCCCUCCUGAGGGCCAUUACUUUACAAAUUCCGUUAUUG